rnacentral:piRNA from 1 species
UCCCUAAACUGGAGGUGUCUAGAGGAGCCA